UACGGAGGGUGCAAGCGUUAUCCGGAUUCACUGGGUUUAAAGGGUGCGUAGGCGGGCAGGUAAGUCAGUGGUGAAAUCUCCGGGCUUAACCCGGAACUGCCGUUGAUACUAUCUGUCUUGAAUAUCGUGGAGGUAAGCGGAAUAUGUCAUGUAGCGGUGAAAUGCUUAGAUAUGACAUAGAACACCGAUUGCGAAGGCAGCUGGCUACACAAAUAUUGACACUGAGGCACGAAAGCGUGGGGAUCAAACAGG
rnacentral:rRNA from 1 species